rnacentral:rRNA from 1 species
UCCGGCGGCCUUAGCGAGAGGGAAACACCUGUUCCCAUUCCGAACACAGAAGUUAAGCCUCUCUGCGUCGAUGGUACUGCCUGGGUGACUGGGUGGGAGAGUAGAACGCUGCCGGGA